GCCCCCAUCGUCUAGUGGCCUAGGACACCUGGUUCUCAGCCAGGAAACCGGGGUUCGAUUCCCC
rnacentral:tRNA from 1 species